GUAGUACUCCCUCUGUCCCAAAAUUCUUGUCUUAAAUUUGUCUAAAUACGGAUGUAUCCAGUUAUAUUUGCCGGCUAUAGACAAAUCUAAGAUAAGAAUUUUGGGACGAAUGAAGUAUAUA
rnacentral:pre_miRNA from 1 species